GACCCUGUAGCUCAGUUGGAUAGAGCGAAUGCCUUCUAAGCAUUAGGUCGAGGGUUCGACCCCCCCCUGGGUCG
rnacentral:tRNA from 1 species